GGUUACAUAUGGCAGCUUUAAUAUGUGGGAGAUACUGAGUCAGUCAGGCUGUGUGAAUCACUAACUGUCCAUAAACGGAACUGGAAAAGGAAAUGGAUUCUAUUUAUCCUACAUUUAUCACUACUUACUUCCAGGACUUAGGGGGAUUUGGUAGCAUUACAGAUGCUUUCCACUGCUCCACUUUACUUCAGGUCACUGCUCUUCUGUCCUAGUUCUGAGAUCAUUCACACUUGAAAAGGAAUACUUGAAACUAAGUGGAAGUGUGCAUUUGAAGUUACUAUUGUAUUCUUAAAGGGAUUUCAAGAGGACAACAGCCCCCCAAAUUACCAAUGUAGAUCAGUCAAACGAAAGUAGGUUAUUAGGUUUUGAGGGUGCAGGAACUGCCAUUGUGCCAAUCCAUCCAGCAUGUAAGUUAUCUUGAAGGGUGGUUCAGGGUAAAGAUGGAUGGAGUCUAUGCUGUGAGUGUCUCUGGGGAUUUGUGUUGAUGUCUGAGCCAACUAUCCACUGUUACUUUCCCUCUGUGUGACUGAGCACUGAGCAGCAGCUGGAACAGGGCUGGUAACAGACAGAAGGGUCUCAGGCAGGGCAGGGCAUGACUGACUGACUGAGUGACAGUAACAGGGCUGGUAACAGACAGAAGGGUCUCAGGCAGGACAGUGACUGACUGAGUGACAGUAACAGGGCUGGUAACAGACAGAAGGGUCUCAGGCAGGGCAGGACAGUGACUGACUGACUGACUGAGUGACAGUAACAGGGCUGGUAACAGACAGAAGGGUCUCAGGCAGGGCAGGACAGUGACUGACUGACUGACUGAGUGACAGUAACAGGGCUGGUAACAGACAGAAGGGUCUCAGGAAGGACAGGAUAGUGACUGACUGAGUGACAGUAACAGGGCUGGUAACAGACAGAAGGGUCUCAGGCAGGGCAGGACAGUGACUGACUGACUGACUGAGUGACAGUAACAGGGCUGGUAACAGACAGAAGGGUCUCAGGCAGGACAGUGACUGACUGACUGACUGAGUGACAGUAACAGGGCUGGUAACAGACAGAAGGGUCUCAGGAAGGACAGUGACUGACUGACUGACUGAGUGACAGUAACAGGGCUGGUAACAGACAGAAGGGUCUCAGGAAGGACAGGACAGUGACUGAGCAGCAGCUGUAACUGGGCUGGUAACAGACAGAAGGGCCUCAGGCAGGACAGGACAGUGACUGAGCAGCAGCUGUAACUGGGCUGGUAACAGACAGAAGGGCCUCAGGCAGGACAGGACAGUGACUGACAGCCUGAUGAUGCCAGUUCCUCAUGCCAGGAUCCUGCGGCUGGAGGCAGGAUCUUUAUCUCACAUGGCCCCCUUUUCCCUUCAUAUAGCACCACUGUUGACUCGGUCCCGUAGGGCUCUGGUCUAAAGCAGGGCACUAUGUAGGAAAUAGGGGGCCAUUUAUCAUGCCUCAGUGUCUCCAUCCCCUGCCUGUCGUGGUCAACAGAUUGACCAAUAUCCUUUAACCUUCUUAGUGGAACUGGAAGGCAGAAAGCUGCAGAGUCCCUCAGUCCUAAUCUUACAUUUCUUUAGGCUAUUAACCACUCAGAAUGACACGCCAGGACUGUAGGGAAACUCAAUGAGAGUUGUGGCUCAUUUCUGAGAGCACCUGCUUAGUACAACACAGCACAUUGUGACCGGUUACAGGAUCUGAGGCGUUCGAUGAUGCUUCCUACUUUUAUCUACUUUAUUUGACCUUUAUUUAACUAGGCAAGUCAGUUAAGAACAAAUUCUUAUUUACAAUGACAACCUAACCCCGGCCAAACCCAAACCCGGACGACGCUGGGCCAGCUGUACUCCGUCCUCUGGGACUCCCCAUUAAGACCGGUUGUGAUAAACCCAAACCCGGACAACGCUGGGCCAGCUGUACCCCGUCCUCUGGGACUCCCUGUUAAGACCAGUUGUGAUACAGCCUUAACAGUAAUAUUUGUUUUAAAUAUUAUUGUAUUUUUAAUUUUGUUUUGUUGCAGAAAGGCCUUCUUGAACAUGUCGACUUUCAUGUGCCUUAAUAACAAACUGGUCUGAACAACAAAAGACAAUCUUAUCAAAAUCUUUCAAAGGGCAUUUUCUCCUACUUGUCUUUUCAGUUAGUUAACAAGUGGACCAACUUUUAAAGCAGCAUAACCUUUCUCCUACUUGUCUUUUCAGUUAGUUAACAAGUGGACCAACUUUUAAAGCAGCAUAACCUUUCUCCUACUUGUCUUUUCAGUUAGUUAACAAGUGGACCAACUUUUAAAGCAGCAUAACCUUUCUCCUACUUGUCUUUUCAGUUAGUUAACAAGUGGACCAACUUUUAAAGCAGCAUAACCUUUCUCCUACUUGUCUUUUCAGUUGGAUAACAAGUGGACCAACUUUUAAAGCAGCAUAACCUUUCUCCUACUUGUCUUUUCAGUUGGAUAACAAGUGGACCAACUUUUAAAGCAGCAUAACUUUUCUCCUACUACAGUGGACCAUAUAGACCAGCUCUCACUUACAUUUGACACAAGCCUCAGUAGAAAAAUCUGGACAUUAUUGUCCAUUGAAAUGGACCGGUUCUGUUCUCAUCGUCUAUUACAGAGAGGGUGUAAGUUAAGCUGUGUGAGUCUGUAAUGAGCCCUGAGUUUAACAGAGGAGAGGAGGACCAGUCAAACACACACACACACACACACAGAGACAGAGAGGGUGUAAGUUAAGCUGUGUGAGUCUGUAAUGAGCCCUGAGUUUAACAGAGGAGAGGAGGACCAGUCAAACACACACACACACAGAGACAUAGAGGGUGUAAGUUAAGCUUUGUGAGUCUGUAAUGAGCCCUGAGUCUAACAGAGGAGGACCAGUCAAACACACACACACACACAGAGACAUAGAGGGUGUAAGUUAAGCUGUGUGAGUCUGUAAUGAACCCUGAGUCUAACAGAGGAGAGGAGGACCAGUCAAACACACACACACACACACACACACACACACACACACACACACACACACACACACACACACACACACACACACACACACACAGAGACAUAGAGGGUGUAAGUUUAGCUGUGUGAGUCUGUAAUGAGCCCUGAGUCUAACAGAGGAGAGGAGGACCAGUCAAACACACAUACACACACACACACACACACACACACACACACACACACACACACAGACAUAGAGGGUGUAAGUUUAGCUGUGUGAGUCUGUAAUGAGCCCUGAGUCUAACAGAGGAGAGGAGGACCAGUCAAACACACACACACACACACACACACACACACACACACACACACACACACACACACACACACACACAGACAUAGAGGGUGUAAGUUUAGCUGUGUGAGUCUGUAAUGAACCCUGAGUCUAACAGAGGAGAGGAGGACCAGUCAAACACACACACACACACACACACACACACACACACACACACACACACACACAGAGACAUAGAGGGUGUAAGUUUAGCUGUGUGAGUCUGUAAUGAACCCUGAGUCUAACAGAGGAGAGGAGGACCAGUCAAACACACACACACACACACACACACACACACACACACACACACACACACACACACACACACACACACACACACAGAGACAUAGAGGGUGUAAGUUUAGCUGUGUGAGUCUGUAAUGAGCCCUGAGUCUAACAGAGGAGAGGAGGACCAGUCAAACACACACACACACAGAGACAUAGAGGGUGUAAGUUUAGCUGUGUGAGUCUGUAAUGAGCCCUGAGUCUAACAGAGGAGAGGAGGACCAGUCAAACACACACACACACAGAGACAGAGACAGAGAGACGCACACCUGUCACUAUCGUUACGUGCACCUGCGUGUCAUCAGACUCACCUGGACUCCAUCACCUCCUUGAUUACCUUCCUAUAUAUGUCCCUCCCCUUGGUUCCUUCCCCAGACGUUAUUGUUUCUGUUCCUGUGUUGUUCCUGUUUCUGGUUUUAUGUUGUGUUUAUUUAUUAAAACACUCACUCCCUGAACUUGCUUCCCGACUCUCAGCGUGCAUCGUGUGAGUGUGGGUAGAGUGAGGGAGAGAGAGAGAGAAAGAGUGAGGGAGAGGAGAGAGGGAGGAAGUAGGUAGAGUGAGGGAGAGGAGGGAGGGAGUGAGGGAGAGGAGAGAAGGAGGGAAUGGGUAGAGUGAGGGAGAGA
ensembl:lncRNA